rnacentral:rRNA from 1 species
UACGGGGGGGGCCAGCGUUGUUCGGAAUUACUGGGCGUAAAGGGCGCGUAGGCGGCCAUCUAAGUCAGACGUGAAAUCCCUCGGCUCAACCGAGGAACUGCGUCUGAUACUGGAGGGCUUGAAUCCGGGAGAGGGAUGCGGAAUUCCAGGUGUAGCGGUGAAAUGCGUAGAUAUCUGGAGGAACACCGGUGGCGAAGGCGGCAUCCUGGACCGGUAUUGACGCUGAGGCGCGAAAGCCAGGGGAGCAAACGGG